UACGUAGGGGGCAAGCGUUGUCCGGAAUCAUUGGGCGUAAAGAGCGCGUAGGCGGCCCAGUAAGUCCGCUCUGAAAGUCAGAGGCUCAACCUCUGAAUGCGGGUGGAUACUGCUGGGCUAGAGUCCGGAAGAGGCGAGUGGAAUUCCUGGUGUAGCGGUGGAAUGCGCAGAUAUCAGGAGGAACACCGAUGGCGAAGGCAGCUCGCUGGGACGGUACUGACGCUGAGGCGCGAAAGCGUGGGGAGCGAACAGG
rnacentral:rRNA from 1 species